rnacentral:lncRNA from 1 species
GGAAAAAAUAUGUAUUUUUAAGUUUUCAAAGCUUAGCCUCCCAGCACAUGGAGUACACAUGUCGACUUUCAGAACUUGGGGACACAAACGGAUUCAGAUGUUUAGUCCUUUGUCUUUACUGGUCUUGGCUCCCCUCGCCAGCUGAGUGUGGCACAAUCCAAACACAGUUUGUGAAAACAGAGCAGCUAAAGUUACUUCUAAAGCACCCUCUUGGGGACCGAUAAAGUCAAUCUCUGUUUAUGUAAUGAAAUCAGGGAGCAAGGAGGUCUGCUCUAGUACUUUGCGGAUGGGAUUCUGUUGAGGUUGUCUUUCAGGGAAAAGACUGGAUUUAAUCAGCCCUUAUUCAUAUUCACUUUCUCUGGAGGGUCAGUACAGACCUUCUGAUUUGUUGUGUCCUGAGACGUAUGUUUGGGUACCCAUCGAGCAGUGCCUGCCUUCCCUUGAAAACUCCAAGUACUGCCGUUUCAACCAGGACCCAGAAGCAGUGGAUGAAGGUCGCAGUAAGGAACCCGACCGGUUGCAGGUCUUUCACAAGAAAGCCAUUCUGCCUUACGGAGUUUAUAAGAAGCAGCAGAAAGACCCGCGCGAGGAGGCCGCUGUGCUGCAGUACGCCCGCCUGGUGGGGCAGGCGUGCUCUGAGAGGAUGCUGCUGUUCCGAAGCUGAGCGGCCCGUUCCACACGUGUCCCAGGCAAUCCUGCGCUGUGCCUAGGAGAUGUGCCUCAGUGCACGCCCGUCACCCUGGGGAAAUUCCGUAACCAACCAAAAAGUAGACUUUUAAAUUUUGACAAUUAUAUGGCUUUUCUAAAAUACUUUGUGGCAAUGUAUUUGUGAGACUCAUGAUACAGAUUUUGAAGAUAUGUUAUGACCUAUCCUUCUAAUUGGAGUUUAUCAUUUUGGGGGUUUUUGACAGAUUUGCUAAACUUACCUUGCUAACAUUUUAGAAAGUAAAAUUAAGAAGUGAGUUUAAAUCNNNNNNNNNNNNNNNNNNNNNNNNNNNNNNNNNNNNNNNNNNNNNNNNNNUUUGUAGUUUAAUAGAGAACUUGAAGAAAAGAAAGUACAAACAUUAAGGAAAACAAAAGGAUCUGGUAUUAGCAUCAGAUGUCUCUUUUCCCAGAACACUCCCAGUUUAUCUUGUCUUGGCAUGAUAUUUUUUCCCCUGGAAUAUUGUUACUAGUGCUCCCUUUUACAACAGCUUGGACAAUAAAAUAUAUGGCUAGCCUAGUUAUGCAUUACAUUAUUUGCUUUAUUUCUAAAAAUCUAAAAAAAAAAUUUAGUUUUUAAGAAUAAUAUUGCUUCCUGCCUUGAUCUAUCCUCCAUUGAUAAUAAAUAUAAGCUAAUUUUUCAUUCCUUAGAACUCAGGGCAUUUGUCUUGGGUUAUUGGUGAAAAUUAGCUCACAUCUGACCAUUUUCAUAGCUAAGCCAAGAAUUCCAUGUAAUUAAACAGGAAUCAUUUUGAGCUCUGAGUUCUAGAUCUAGAGUAAGAGGUGGAGCAAUCCAUUUCUUGCCCUUGGGUUUGGGAGUCAGAGGAGAUGCUGCACUUGGUAAUCAGGAACAGAGUCCAGCCUCUUCUUUUCCCUCUCCCUUUUUGAAUUACUUUGUCCAUUCAGCAAACGUCCCUUGCCCACUUUGUCAAGAUGGCAGGCUCUUUCCUGGGCACAAAGAUGGUUUGAACCAGACCUCGCCCUCAGGAGGACACAGUCCAGGAGGAGAAGCAGACAUGCCAGUAGCUAAGAGAUAGAGAGCAGGGUGUGUGGGAAUUGAGUUGUGUUGGAGACCUUGGAGAACAGAGGAGUAUUGUUUCUUUGUGCUUUCCCUUUCAGCUGAUGGCCAACUUCUGCUGCCAGCUGCUUGGCCCGCUGAGCCCUUUUCAGUCUCCGGAGAUUUUGUCCAUUUUUCUGUUGAUUGAUCUUUUUAAAAGCCUUAUUAUAAAACUUAGCAGUUUGAAUCCCACUACUGCAAUCAGCUAACUAUGUGAUUGUAAGCUUUUCUCCAAAAUGCACCAAAUUUAGAUCCAACAUUAGACAAUAAUUCUCAGCUAGCUAGUUUGUAGGAACCAUAAAAUGAUGGCUUUUUAAAAUCAGGUAACUAGGCACAGUCAACAUCCAAAUAGUAUUUAUUCACUCAAACUGUGUGUAUGUAUAACACCUGCCUUGUGCUAACAGGAGAUAGAGUCAGUGAGCAGAAACACUUGAUUUGAUCAUAUAGAUCUUACAUUCUUAUGAAAUUUUGUCCUUCAAAAAAGUCUUCCAAGAGCAGUUGGGAAAUUUUGGUUGAAAGUGCCCUCAGAAUCUAGAGAUAGAGAACAUUCUCUAAUGAAGGUAGCAUAAUUUCUUUAUGAUUAUAAAAAUCAUACUUGCUGUAAACAAUUCAAAUAAUAAGAAAGUAAAAAUAAUCUGAAAUCCCAUUAUACUCAGAGAGAGAGAGAAUUGCUGUCUCUACACAGACAAAAAUAAUUUUAAUACAAAACUGUACUUGCUAAUUUGUUUCUUCAACAGUAAGUUAUGGACAUACUUGAAAGAAACUUCACAAUGAGCUUUCAGAAAGUGUUUUGGGUGGCCUCAGUAGUUUUACAGUGAGCAAAGUGGGACCAGUAUUUGGUGUGCUUGGCAGCUUGUCCAAGUUUAGUUGCCAUCAAGGUCGCCACUCUUUGAGUAUCAAAAGAAGAGAAAACUUGAGUCUUACAUCUUAGCACAACUCUGAUUUCUUCCUACAGUUUGGAGUUCCUUCAGAGGAAAACGAUCAGUCACUCUGUCUGGGGGCCCAGCAGUUGACCCUGGAGGGUGGCAUUAGAUGCCCAGGUUAAUACCAGAGAAACUCCCGAGUGAGUUUGGCCAUGAAGAGUCUUUUACACAGUCGAUAUAUUUAGGCAUUGUUGUUGUCUUUUUUUAAAAUAGUGAAUUGAUCCUAAUAAUCUUCCUAAAGGAAGAUUGUGGUUGAGUGAAUAUUGAUCCUGGGCUAGAAAAGGACUGUCAAGGAAAAAUGACCGAACUUUUUCAGUUGGUAAUUAAUCUAGCUGAGAGAUUUGAUUUUAUGUUACUGACUUUCAUCUAAAGAAGACACAGAAUUUUUCAAAAGGAAUUUAUGAUUAUUUCAAGGCAGGAAAUGUAUUUGCAACCUUAGUGUUGCAGCCCCUUCUGAUUUCAAAUAAAUUCACCCCUACCUCCCCCCUGUCUGGGAAGCAAGCUUGUAAUAGAGGUUCCCCAUGCCGCUGUCAUUAUUUAAAUUAUAUCAGUUCUAUGAGAUCUUCGUUAUCUUACUAAAAAAUGUAAUCUGAGCACUUUUUACAUUCUAAAAAAUAGACACUAUUCACAGAUGAAUAUAUUAUUCACUUGUUGAUUAUAAUUACUUAGAUAAGAAAUUUUUACUGUUGAUGGUUGCCGUGAAAAUGGCCUAUCCUAUUUUUUUUUUAAAUCAGUUUUGCAAAGAUCAGUUUUGUGGCUUCGUAACAAACCAGAAUCUAUUAUGUAAAUGAACUAUUGCAAAUUUCUGAAAGGUUUGAUUUUGUAAGCAUUGUAUUAUUUCAAUAUGAAUAAAGAUGGGAAAGAAUAAUCUGACCAGUGAGCUAAAAUAUAUCUGUUGUUGCUAUCUUAAAAGAAUUAGAAGUUAAUGAUAUGGAAACAGUUGGGUAAUGUAUGAAUUAGAAGUUAUUUGAGUGUGCAUUCUUUCCCAAAACAAAACAACUAAGGCGAAACAAGUUUGAUUGCAUGUGAUUUUUUUUUCCUCUUCAAUGUGCUUUCUGAACAAUCCAUUUGAUAAGGCUUCAGUGGAUAAAAAAUAAAGCUGUUUCUAUCUGCAAUGACUCUUGCUAGUCCAUAAUUAAAAGACACGUUUUCAUCUAAUUCUUGCAUACAUUUCACCUGCAGUGAAUUUUGCAGAGAAUAAAGCAUUGACUUUAUGAACUGUAAAAUUUGAUUUCCUACCAUGGAAUUCCAGAUCAUUUAGUUAUCUAAGUUAAAGCAUGAUAGAUACCUUUCUCAGAAAUAAAGUAAAAUAAAUCUCACUUUAAGUCUGGAUUUUCACAAGAUAAAUUAGGGAAUAGACAUUCAUUUGUCUGAGGGUAUUCAGAAUAGACUUUAACCAGCACAGUCAAACGUAAUUUGUCUUAAAAGUUUAGUUCACAGAGAAAUUUUUGUUAAGUAUCUCAUAAAGCAAAUUAUAUGUUAAUUCGUAAUAGUCCACAGUAUAUUUAUGGAAUAUGUUUACAAAUCUUCCAUCUAUUUACAAUAAGGAGGAUCUGGUUGGUUGGUAAUAAAAUGAAUCCUAUUUUCCUAGUGAUUGAAAUAUUAGUAUAAUUCCCACUGACUUUUUUUUUCCCAGAAUGAAAAUAGCUUUGUUCUUUUUCUGUUGACAGGGUUUGUCAGAGACUAUUUAGACACUAUAGGAAAUAGAAAAUAAAAAUCACUUCUAAUCCCAUCACUGCUGUGGAGUCCCAUUCCCACUUUUGUCUGUGUCCUUCUGUAUUAGUCAGCCAAAGGGGUUCUGAUGCAAAAUACCAGAAAUUGGUUGGUUUUUAUAAAGGGCAUUUAUUUGGGGUAGGAACUUACAGAUAUCAGGCUAUAAAGCAUAAGUUACUUCCCUCACCAAAGUCUAUUUGGAGCAAGAGGCUGCUGACAUCUGCCAGGGUUCAGGCUUCCUGGGUUUCUCUCUUCCCGGGGCUCCAGCUUAAGGCUUCAGCAUCAGACUCCAACCUCAAAACUCCAACAUCAAAAAUCCUCAACUCUGUCCUUUGCCAUUCCUUUUAUCUGUGAGUCCCCACCCCUUGGUGGGCACAUCAGUGCCCUAAUGAUGUGGCCCAAACAAAACCCUAAUCAUAACUCCAUAAUGCUCAGGUACAACCAGAUUUUAAACAUAAUCCAAUAUCUAUUCUUGGAAUUCAUAACUAUAUCAAAUUGCUACACCUUCUAAACUUUUUUAUGUACAUCAUUGUGUAUAUUUUAUUUUAUUUUUAGAUAAAAUGGAAUCAUGCCCUGUC